GGUCGUUUACGUUAUGCAAAUACUAUAGUAGAAUAGAUGUUUCUCUUCUCUUUACUAUAUCUGAUCUAGUAUUGCAAGUUUUCAUACUGAAGAAGUUGAAAAGCAAUGAAGAAAAGCUAAAGGAUUUGGAAAUCUCAACAGUAGAUGGCUUCCAGGGCCGGGAAAAGAAAGCCAUCAUUAUUUCAAUGGUUCGAUCAAACUCAAAGAAAGAGGUUGGGUUUCUGAGCGAUCACAGGCGAAUGAACAUGGCUGUAACACGAGCAACAAGGCAAUGUUGUCUUGUCUGUGACACUGAGACAGUGAGUAAUGAUGCAUUCUUGAAGCGAUUGAUAGAGUACUUUAAGGAGCAUGGUGAGUAUCUAAGUGCAUCAGAGUAUAGUAAUGAAUGAGCAACAGUACCUCGACAUCUACAAAUUUGCUGUUUUUGGUGGCAUAGCUCUGAGACCUCCCACUGCUUCUGCAGUGGAGGAAAAUUUGUAUUCUAAUUAGAACAGAUUCUAUUCUUAAAUCAUAUUUGUACCUAGUUUACUUUAUCUUUUAUUUUCUGUUCUCUAAUUUUGAUAUGCUAUACGUUUAGGGGCCACGUAGAUAAUAAAAUUGCCUUGUCAUUGGCGUUUAGAUUGA